rnacentral:rRNA from 1 species
ACCUAAAAUUAAGUCUAAAGUAUCCUCAUGUAAACCAUACCCUUUUAUCCUUCAUAAAACAUUUACCCAGUUCAGUAGAGGUGAUCAAAAAACUUAUUAGAACUAUACCCUAAGUACCGCAAGGGAAAAAUGAAAUAGCUUUGAAAUAGACCUAAAGUGAAAUAUAGCAGAGACCCACCCUCGUACCUUUUGCAUCAUGGUUUAGCUAGUCUUCCCAAGCAAAACGAAAUGUUAGUUUGACCCCCCGAAACUAAGCGAGCUACUUCAAAACAGCUUAUAGAGCCAACCCCUUUCUGUUGCAAAAGAAUGGGAUGAUUUUCAAGUAGAGGUGAAAAACCUACCGAGCUUAGAGAUAGCUGGUUACUCAGGAAAAGAAUCUUAGUUCAACUUUAAGCCUCUUCAUUAUCUUUAUAACGACCUAAAGCUUAAAAGCCACUCAAAUAAGGCACAGCUUAUUUGAGAAGGGAAACAACCCAGAAAAAAGGGUAAACCCACCACCAAAAAUCAAGUGGGCCCAAAAGCAGCCACCUUUCAGAAAGCGUUAAAGCUCCAUUUUGAAGACAAUUAAAUACCCAAACUUAACCUAAACCCUUUAUUUCUACUGAGUGAUUCUAUAUUUAUAUAGAAACCCUAAUGCUAAAACUAGUAACAAGAAAACGACUUUCUCCAUAAUAUACCUAUAAGUCAAAAUGGACAAACCACUGACAAUUAACGCCAUGAGCCCAAUAUAAUAACUCUCCAAGAAAAUCUUAUAUAUUUAGGCGUUAACCUUACACAAGAGUAUUUCCGGAAAGAUUAAAAGAAAGGGAAGGAACUCGGCAAAUCUUAACCCCGCCUGUUUACCAAAAACAUCGCCUCUUGACAACCCAUAAGAGGUCCAGCCUGCCCAGUGAUAUAAUUCAACGGCCGCGGUACCCUGACCGUGCGAAGGUAGCAUAAUCACUUGUUCUCUAAAUAAGGACUAGUAUCAAUGGCACCACGAGGGAUAUACUGUCUCCCCUUUUUAAUCAGUGAAACUGAUCUCCCCGUGAAGAAGCGGGGAUAAAUCUACAAGACGAGAAGACCCCAUGGAGCUUUAAACCCAAUAACACCAACACUUAAGUAUACCCAUAAAAUAAACAGAACUGUUUAUUGGUUUUAGGUUGGGGUGACCACGGAGUAAAACUAAGCCUCCACGACGAAUACACCUAUCUCAGAGCUACCCCUCUAAGAAUCAAAACUUUGACGUAACCUGAUCCGACUUUCGAUCAACGAACCAAGUUACCCUGGGGAUAACAGCGCAAUCCAUUUCAAGAGCCCCUAUCGACAAAUGGGUUUACGACCUCGAUGUUGGAUCAGGGUAUCCCAGUGGUGCA